GUCUACGGCCAUACCACCCUGAACACGCCUGAUCUUGUCUGAUCUCAGAAGUCAAGCAGGGUCGGGCCUGGUUAGUACUUGGAUGGAAGAAUUACUUAGUGCAGACU
ensembl:rRNA 5S_rRNA 5S ribosomal RNA